AGCAUAUCAAUAAGCGGAGGAAAAGAAACUAACCAGGAUUCCCCUAGUAACGGCGAGUGAAGCGGGAACAGCCCAAAUUUUAAAUCGAUCAAAAGGUCGAGUUGUAAUUUGAAGAAUUGCUUUCCACGUCUUUAUCCGAUGAAAAGUCCCUUGGAAUAGGGCAUCACAGAGGGUGAUAAUCCCGUAUUUUAUCGUGAUUUUGACGUCGUGUGUAGUAAUUUCAAAGAGUCGAGUUGUUUGGGAUUGCAGCUCAAAACGGGUGGUAAAUUCCAUCUAAGGCUAAAUAACGGCAAGAGACCGAUAGCGAACAAGUACCGUGAGGGAAAGAUGAAAAGAACUUUGAAAAGAGAGUUAAACAGUACGUGAAAUUGUUGAAAGGGAAACGAUUGAGGCCAGUCAUGCCUGCGAGAAAUCAAUCAUUUUAAUCUUGUUUUCGAAUUUGAUUAAUUGGUGCACUUUUUCGCGUGGCAGGUUAGCAUCAACUUUAAUUGUUGUAAAAUGGUGGUCGGAAUGUGACUCUUUUAGAGUGUUAUAGCCGAUUGCAGAUGCAACGAUUGGGGUUGAGGUUUGCGGCAAAUGCCUUUGGGCUACUUACCUUCCUUCUGAUCUGUUCACUUUAGAAUGACAGCUUGCUGACAUUUUGAAGGGCGUUCAAUCAAUAGGGUAGAGUAUUGAUAAAUUUGCCAAGGAUGCUGACGUAAUGGCUUUAAACGAC
rnacentral:rRNA from 1 species